CCAAUGACGUGACUUCGAGAUUUCAAAUAAUCUGUUAGACUGCGACACCGAGGCAACUAUGUGAAAGCGCAAAAGCAUCGCCAGGAAGGCAGAGGACACGUCAAACCUGGUAUCGGAAGAUGAUGCUGUGUAGACGCGAAAGAGACGUCUUCCCCAGAGAUUUAGCAAAUCUUCUAGUGAUUCCGGAAUUGACGCUGAUCUUGAAUCGGUUAGGACCAAAGAAAACAACAUGUACGCGGAGGAACGAUUAAGGCUGUGGCAGCAGAGAUACCAAUGCCGAAACUGAAUGCGAAGUCCAAGUCCACAUCACAUUUUUCAGUUCCAACCCACAACUCCAGCAAGGGCUCGGGCUUCGGAAAGCAAUUUUCAAGUGCAGGUACUGUGUACGCUGCAGAGGCUGGAGGAAGGGCAGCAGCAGCUGAAGCAGUUGGUACAAAAACUGCUUUUGUCCAAAUCGGGAGCGGCCGUUGAUGUGGAAGACCUGAGGGAGCCGUUUACCAAACCAGUGAACACCAAAUUUUCAUUCAAGGUAGAUUAAGAUACCUUCAUUCAGGGGCAAUGCAAAAAUCCUAAAACUCGUAUUGAAACCAAAUUUGACCAUUUCAGCUAAUAAUGGAGAAACUUUAUCAGCGACAUAACAGUUUUGUUGGUGCAUCUUUUUUAAUUGAAUUGCCAUCAUCUUGUUGAGAAUGCAAGACAAAGUUGUAUAGGUCUGUAAAUUUACUACUUUUUGUAAGGAUGCUGAAACCGAUGGCCCGAAUUCACAAAGGAGGUUUGAGCUCAAACCUUGGUUUUCGUACGUCAUAUGACGCGUUUUACGCGUUUUUUACAAACCUGGUU